UGAAUAAAACAAUUCAGGCUUAUUCUGGGUUCCUUGGCCCUGGAAAUGUUUUGUUUUGCUUUGGGGCAAAGAGCCUGCCUCUCUGUGAAGGUGUUUCCAAGACUCCCAUGAUGCAGUGCAGGCAUACAAUAUACCCUAAAGAUGGCGACUUGCUUCUAGUGGAAUUCUUAGCAUUGAUUAUUGUGGCUGAUGACUGUAAAAUGGGACCUGACGGAGCACAAUAAAGUAAAUUCCAGCCAUCCUAUUAUGAAAUCCCUGUGGUGUAAAGCUGGACAAUGUCGUGCUAGGUCGGCCAAACUAUCAUGGGAUCGCUGUGGUGCUGGUGGGCCAAGCUUUAAUGGGAUUGCUGUGGUGCUAUGUUGGCCAAGCUAUCAUGGGAUUGCUGUGGUGCUGGUGGGCCAAGCUAUCAUGGGAUUGCUGUGAUGCUGGUCGGCCAAGCUAUCAUGGGAUCCCUAUGGUGCAAGGGUGGGCCAAGCUAUCAUGGGAUUCCUGUGGUGCUAAGGAUGAAACUGUGUAAUUGAACAGCAUUCCUGCUGCUUUAGCCUGUAAACGCAGUGUUGCAGACGAACAAGCUGGGUUUGCACAGUACACCAGAAGUCACGAGAAGGCAAGCGCAAGAAAUGCCGCGUUUGCUCAAAUGGUAGUCAAAUUUAGAAUCGGACAUCAUAUCGCGGCCAAGUCGGUAGAGUCACACUUUUCAUGAAAAGAGUGAUUGUUGCUCAAGAAAACUAACAACGAUUAGGCUCUACAGUAAAAAACACAAGGGACGCAUCUUACCUUAAUAACCCUGAUAUAUGCGCAUUUUGUCGAGAAAGCCAAUAAAGAUGCAGCCCUUCAUUUUCU